rfam:Camelus ferus unplaced genomic scaffold scaffold252, whole genome shotgun sequence.
GAGGGUAUAGCUCAAGUGGUAGAGCACGUGCUUAGCGUGCACAAGGUCCUGGGUUCAAUCCCCAGCACCUCCU